CAGGGAUUGAGCAUCUGCCUUUGGCCCAGGGCGUGACCCCGGGGUCCCGGCAUCGAGUCCCGUGUUGGGCUCCCUGCGAAGAGCCUGCUUCUCCCUCUGCCUGUGUCUCUGCCUCUCUCUCUCUCUCUGUUUCUCAUGAAUAAAUAAAAUCUUAAAAAAAAAAAGAAUAAUCACAAUUUUUGCCACUGUCAGUACAACUCUGUUUUCAUUGCCUGGUAUUGAGAAAUGCUUUUAACUUCUUUUCAUGACCAUUUGGCCCACUGGUUAGUUUUACAGUUUGCUGCUCUGGGCAAUCUGGACAACUUACCAUUACUGCAGAUGCUUUUUGCUUUUCUCCCUUCAUACUUUUGUCUAUGUGGAAUAUCAUCUCCCAUCACCCCAAGACCAAAUUGAAUGCAUGAGUACGUGACAGACAAGUUCUUGUCAUGGGUCACAUUUCAUGCCCUAUUUACUGUCUAGAUGUGAAUUGGAAAUGAGAUUCUGAAGCCUUUAGUGGUUUGUUUUUUUAAGAUGUUAUUUAUUUAUUCAUGAGAGACACAGAGAGAGGCAGAGACCCAGGCAGAGGGAGAAGCAGGCUCCAUGCAGGGAGCCCGAUUCGGGACUCGAUCCCAGGACCCUGGGGUCAUGUCCUGAGCUGAAGGCAGAUGCUCAACCACUGAGCCGCCCUGGUGCCCCACCCUUAGUUUUGAGUUUACAUCACAAUUGGAAGGUAUGUAUGCUUAGGAUCAAUGUUACAGUGAACAUACAGAACUGAUGUGUGAUUUCUGAGUGAUUCCUGAUUUUUCACUCUGAGCAGAUGAGAAAUGAGGCACCCGUGUGACCUGGAAUGAGCUGAGGCAUGGUGAAGAGGUAUUGGGAGGAGGUGAGAGAAGGGUUUUUAUGGUCCAGAAUGAUUCCGUUGCCAGCAUCUUCUGAUAGAAGGAAUUAACUUUUCCAGGCAGUGCAAUCAUGCUAUUUAUUAAAAGAAGCAUUGGACAAUCCGAAUGGACUUCAGAGCUGUGUCCUGAGCCAUCUGGCCAACUCUCGGGCAAGAAACUUCUUUGUUCUUUAGAGACCAAGCUUUUUCCCCAAGCACUAACAGAAUUGAAAUGGAAGAAGUUGGAAUUACUCGUCUUUGAUGGACAUUUGGGCGGCGGUCUCCUCUCAAAGAUGCGUCAAGUGAGCUGCUUCGUGCUGGGGGGCUCUGUCCCUACCUAAACUUAGCCCGUCGGGGUUUUGUGCAGUUAGAGACCAGAGCAUGGUAUUGUAUCAGCGCGCUGGCCAUUCCAAUGGGGUCUGCUCAUGGCCGGGUCCAUGGGGUUUGGGGGGGACCCUCUGGUGACAGGGGCUGGACUCUGUUGAAGCAUCAUCUAUAAGUGGGAUUACUGGAUUCGCCCAGAGGGGGAGUGCUGCGUUUUGCCUGUAGAUCCAGAUGGCAGCUGGACCUGUGGGAACGAGGGCAUGGGUGGGCUGCCCUGCCAGCCUGGGCUGUGGGGGAUG
rnacentral:lncRNA from 1 species